rnacentral:lncRNA from 1 species
GAGGUUGCUGCUCACUUCUCAGAGGGCAGGCUGGCUUCUAAAAAUCAACGCUCCCUCCACCCCCAAACAGCGAUUCUUCUGCAGUGAAUCACUUCCAGAAAUGAAUAGCCACAGUUUUUUGGAAUGAACGUUGUGAAAUCCCUCCUUUAUAAUGGCAGGUUUUCAGUUGGUGGUUUUAUCAGAAUUUCUCAAGAUCAAAACGAAACCUUCUCUUUAAAAAGGAAAGAAAGUACUAUCGAUACAGAAAGCAAAAGUAUUUCCAGUCUCCUACUGAACUGUCACGGCAGACCUCUCUGUAUCUAUAUUUAGAGCUGUAUGUCCAUAUAUUUGCCUGAAUGUGUGAGUUCUUGGAAGUAUGGAUUCAUUGCCAGGAGCUGGUGAUUUCCUAAGCAGAGGUCGCUAACUACAAGAAAUGUUACACUCGGUGAGUAGGUGGUACUUUCUGAAGAUUAUUGGUAACCCAGUGUUGGUCGUCUUGAGUCAUGGAUUUAAAUGACGGCUAGCAAGCUCUUAAACACCUUCUGCUUUAUAUGAUACAGAGUAUGGAACUGCAGGACGCACAGACAACUGUGAAGGGUUUUUAAGAAUAUGGAUUCAUUGAAUAAUCAGUGAAUCUUGUGAAUAUACUAGACCUUUGGAGGAGGAAAGGGUGUUUUACAGAAGGAAGUGGUUUGUGGGGGCUUUUAAAGGACAAGUCCUGCGCUUGGGGAUCCUCUGUACGCCCGUUCACUGGUGCAGGUCUUCUGAACAAAUGCCUCCUGAGGAUUUCUGUGCCUGGAAAAUAUCUGUUAACAGACUGCUUUUACACCUACGUAAGUAGAGGCUUCUGCUUAUAAGUCAACCUCAAGGGAGUUUUAUUUUGUCCCUGGAUGAUUCCUCAGUACAUUUUUCUUUUUCUUUUUUGAGGUAGGGUUUUGCUCUGUUGCCCAGGCUGGAGUACAGUGGUGUGAUCACAACUCACUGCGGCCUCAACCUCCCAGGCUCAAGCGAUCCUCCCACCUCAGCCUCCCAAGUAGCUGGGACCACAGGCGUGUACCACCCACGCCUGGCUAGUUUUUUAAAAUUUCUUUUGUAGAGGCAGAGUCUCCCUGUGUUGCCCUGGUUUCAAACUUGGGCCAAGUGAUUCUCUGCCCCAGCCUCUCAAAGUGCUGGGAUUACAGGUGUGAGCCACCGUGCCUGACAAGCCUGAUAUGUUUUUUUAAAUGAUCAUUAGUAUUUGAUCUCUACUCUUUUUCUCUCAACCACCCAACUCCCGGUUUACGGUCAGGAAGAAUCUAUAACAUGAACUCCUGCUUAAAAACAAGGGUAUAGAUCCCAUAUUCAGGUCUUAGACUGGGAAGAAGAGAAGGCAGUCAAAAAUAUUAAAUAUAUGAAUUUCAGUAAAUUCAGUUGGGGAUGCCAUUUCAGCUUUGCAGUCAGUUACUCCAGAAUAUGUCAAUGUAUGGCAAAGCAUGUGACAGCAGGAUCUCUGCACCCUCUCCAUUUACCAGCUGUGGUGGAUCUCUUAGCCACAUCUCUGUUUAUAAUGUGCUUAUUGAAAACUAAUGUAUUACUUUUAUUAUCAUAGCUACCAUUUACUGAAUAUUUACAUUGUGCUAACACUGGUUCAGAUGGCUUCAUCAUAUUUACCUGAUUUAAUCCUCACAACAACCUUAUGUGCUAGGUCCAGUUAUUACCAUCUUUUUUUUUUUUUGAGA